AGCAGCCGCGGUAAUUCCAGCUCCAAUAGCGUAUAUUAAAGUUGUUGCAGUUAAAAAGCUCGUAGUUGAAUUUCGGGAUCAAUACGUCGGUCGUGCUUCGGUACGUACUGGCGUAAUUGAUUUCUCCCUUCUGACGAACCAUGAUGUCAUUAACUUGGUGUCAUGGGAAAUCAGGACUGUUACUUUGAAAAAAUUAGAGUGUUUAAAGCAGGCUCACGCUUGAAUACAUUAGCAUGGAAUAAUGAAAUAGGACGUUCGAUCCUAUUUUGUUGGUUUUUAGGAUCAACGUAAUGAUUAAUAGGGAUAGUUGGGGGCAUUAGUAUUCAAUUGUCAGAGGUGAAAUUCUUGGAUUUAUUGAAGACUAACUACUGCGAAAGCAUUUGCCAAGGAUGUUUUCAUUAAUCAAGAACGAAAGUUAGGGGAUCGAAGACGAUCAGAUACCGUCGUAGUCUUAACCAUAAACUAUGCCGACUAGGGAUCGGAUGAUGUUAAUUUUUAAUGACUCAUUCGGCGCCUUAAC
rnacentral:rRNA from 1 species